rnacentral:rRNA from 1 species
AGCGAACGCUGGCGGCAGGCUUAACACAUGCAAGUCGAGCGCCCCCGCAAGGGGGAGCGGCAGACGGGUGAGUAACACGUGGGAACGUGCCCUUCAGUUCGGAACAACCCAGGGAAACUUGGGCUAAUACCGACUACGUCCGGAAGGAGAAAGAUUUAUCGCUGAAGGAUCGGCCCGCGUCUGAUUAGCUAGUUGGUGGGGUAAUGGCCCACCAAGGCGACGAUCAGUAGCUGGUCUGAGAGGAUGAUCAGCCACACUGGGACUGAGACACGGCCCAGACUCCUACGGGAGGCAGCAGUGGGGAAUCUUGGACAAUGGGCGCAAGCCUGAUCCAGCCAUGCCGCGUGAGUGAUGAAGGCCUUAGGGUUGUAAAGCUCUUUCGGCGGGGAAGAUAAUGACGGUACCCGCAGAAGAAGCCCCGGCUAACUUCGUGCCAGCCGCCGCUGUAAGAC